rnacentral:rRNA from 1 species
ACUCCUACGGGAGGCAGCAGUGAGGAAUAUUGGACAAUGGGCGAGGGCCUGAUCCAGCCAUGCCGCGUGCAGGAAGAAUGCCCUAUGGGUAGUAAACUGCUUUUAUACGGGAAGAAAUAGGGGCACGCGUGCCCCGUUGACGGUACCGUAAGAAUAAGGACCGGCUAACUCCGUGCCAGCAGCCGCGGUAAUACGGAGGGUCCGAGCGUUAAUCGGAAUUACUGGGCGUAAAGCGCAUGCAGGCGGCCUGUUAAGUCAGAUGUGAAAGCCCGGGGCUUAACCUCGGAAUUGCAUUUGAAACUGGCAGGCUAGAGUCUUGUAGAGGGGGGUAGAAUUUCAGGUGUAGCGGUGAAAUGCGUAGAGAUCUGAAGGAAUACCAGUGGCGAAGGCGGCCCCCUGGACAAAGACUGACGCUCAGAUGCGAAAGCGUGGGGAGCAAACAGGAUUAGAUACCCUGGUAGGAUAG